GGGAUUGUGGCUCAGUGGUAGAGCGCCCGCCUAGCACGGGCAUGACCUGGGUUUGAUUCUCAGCACCA
rfam:Ictidomys tridecemlineatus contig096830, whole genome shotgun sequence.